rnacentral:rRNA from 1 species
UACAGAGGUCUCAACCGUUGUUCGGAUUCAUUGGGCGUAAAGGGUGCGUAGGCGGUCGCGUAAGUCAGGUGUGAAAUCCCAGGGCUCAACCCUGGAACUGCACUUGAUACUGCGUGGCUAGGGUACUGGAGAGGAGACUGGAAUUUACGGUGUAGCAGUGAAAUGCGUAGAUAUCGUAAGGAAGACCAGUGGCGAAGGCGAGUCUCUGGACAGUUACCGACGCUGAGGCACGAAGGCCAGGGGAGCAAACGGG